rnacentral:rRNA from 1 species
CCCUUAGAUGUUCUGGGCUGCACGCGCGCUACACUGAAGCGUUCAACGAGUAUUCACCUUGCCCGGGAGGGUUGGGUAAUCUUUUGAAAACGCUUCGUGAUGGGGAUAGAUUAUUGCAAUUAUUAAUCUUCAACGAGGAAUUCCCAGUAAGUGCGGGUCAUCAGCUCGCGUUGAUUACGUCCCUGCCCUUUGUACACACCGCCCGUCGCUGCCCGGAACUGAGCCGUUUCGAGAAGACUGAGGAUUGCUGACUUGAGGCCUUCACGGGCUUCUAGUCGGUGAAAAUCAAUUUAAUCGCAGCGGCUUGAACCGGGCAAAAGUCGUAACA